CCUUCUGGGACACCACCGGCGGACGGCUCAGUAACACGUCGGUAACCUACCCUCGGGAGGGGGAUAACCCCGGGAAACUGGGGCUAAUCCCCCAUAGGUGUGGGGUACUGGAAGGUCCCCACACCGAAAGGGGCUUCGUGCCCGCCCGAGGAUGGGCCGGCGGCCGAUUAGGUAGUUGGUGGGGUAACGGCCCACCAAGCCGAAGAUCGGUACGGGCCAUGAGAGUGGGAGCCCGGAGAUGGACACUGAGACACGGGUCCAGGCCCUACGGGGCGCAGCAGGCGCGAAACCUCCGCAAUGCGGGAAACCGCGACGGGGGGACCCCCAGUGCCGUGGCAACGCCACGGCUUUUCCGGAGUGUAAAAAGCUCCGGGAAUAAGGGCUGGGCAAGGCCGGUGGCAGCCGCCGCGGUAAUACCGGCGGCCCGAGUGGUGGCCGCUAUUAUUGGGCCUAAAGCGUCC
rnacentral:rRNA from 1 species